rnacentral:lncRNA from 1 species
GCAACUUUCAGCACUACUUUAAUUUCGUGUUAUUGAUGGAGGAAGCCGGCGUGACUGGGAGGACAUACAUUCGACAGGAAAACUAGCAAUACUAGUCGAUUUGAGUUGAACGCUAAGUAAGUACUGUUAUGUGCGGGGUUUGAUUUCACCAUCUUUGAGCUGACAGGCUAGGGGUUAGAUUUUAUCACGAUGAGCAAACGUUCCAAUGAUCCACAACCUUGUGGAUUCGGAAACAGCACAGCAAAGUCCUAAGUGGGAUAAUGAAAUUACUUGUUUUGUCUUUGAAACAAAGUGUAAUUGGUAGGGAGGGGGGAUGGACGUGUCUAACUUAAGCUUGUUGCGAUGAAAAUAUCAUAACGUUAUUGCAUUUUAUUCUUCGUUUGAUAUGUUUGAGCAUUCGAUUAUGCACAUUGCUUGUAGCUGUGGAACUUUUGGUCUAGCAUUUUCUUCAGGAGUUAGGUAUCUUUGUUACUUUACUUUUUAUCAACAAGAUAUAACCUUUAAAUAUGACCAUACACUAGUAGAUGAAUAAAUUAAGUACAUGUAUUCUUUUAUGUCAUUUUGGUCAUAUAGCCCCUAAUGUGUCUACAUACUGGCAUAUUGCUAUCUCAAAUGUUUAGUUAAUACGCUAUGCGGAUCAGUAAAUCCAGAAAUGGUCUUCCAAGGUACGAAAUUUAUAAAGGGAUAUUUUCAUUGAUCAGAAUAUCUUUUGUGUAAUCCUACGUAUAUCUUUAU